AAGUCGAACGAACCCUUCGGGGUUAGUGGCGCACGGGUGCGUAACGCGUGGGAAUCUGCCCUUUGCUUCGGAAUAACAGUUAGAAAUGACUGCUAAUACCGGAUGAUGUCUUCGGACCAAAGAUUUAUCGGCAAAGGAUGAGCCCGCGUAGGAUUAGGUAGUUGGUGGGGUAAAGGCCUACCAAGCCGACGAUCCUUAGCUGGUCUGAGAGGAUGAUCAGCCACACUGGGACUGAGACACGGCCCAGACUCCUACGGGAGGCAGCAGUGGGGAAUAUUGGACAAUGGGCGAAAGCCUGAUCCAGCAAUGCCGCGUGAGUGAUGAAGGCCUUAGGGUCGUAAAGCUCUUUUACCCGGGAUGAUAAUGACAGUACCGGGAGAAUAAGCCCCGGCUAACUCCGUGCCAGCAGCCGCGGUAAUACGGAGGGGGCUAGCGUUGUUCGGAAUUACUGGGCGUAAAGCGUACGUAGGCGGUUAUUCAAGUCAGAGGUGAAAGCCCGGGGCUCAACCCCGGAACGGCCUUUGAAACUAGGUAGCUAGAGUCUUGGAGAGGUCAGUGGAAUUCCGAGUGUAGAGGUGAAAUUCGUAGAUAUUCGGAAGAACACCAGUGGCGAAGGCGACUGACUGGACAAGUACUGACGCUGAGGU
rnacentral:rRNA from 1 species